rnacentral:rRNA from 1 species
AUGUAUGCUUACACCAAAAGUACAACUCUUGUUACUCUCCUCAUACUUGCACUUGCUUAUUUUCUAAGCAAUAAUUCCUAUUGCUUCCUCUUGGGGAAAGGGAUCCCAUGUUGGAGCUGUCUUGGUGCUCACCCGUUGUUUAUAUUCAUCACCAUAGUGUACGAAACAUAUGAAAACCAUUCUGGCUUCGGGAGAAAAUAUAACCAGUACAUGUGCAAUUGCGCGAGAAGUUCCUUUAUGAAAGUUCCUUGUAAACAAACCACAUGGAAGUUCGUCAAGAAAAACUUUGUAAGUUCAAAAUGGCUAUAG